UAGAAACCAGGCGGCGCGUUCCCGGCGGCGGCGCGCUAGACUCUGGUGCCCGCGCAUCCCCGCCAGCCUCCCUCAAGGAGAACUGGUGGCCUCCGAGACCCGUCAGGACCCAUGGUAUCCAGUGCGACGCUCGGCGGGCGAUGCCAGCGUGCCAGGAGUCAUGUCUGACCAGGCCUGUGGGAAGGUCAUAUCCAUGCUGGAGGCUCUUGUGAGGAGAUGAGUUGGUGAAGAGAGAGGCCGGGAUGAAGAUGCUGCCAGGAGUGGGCGUGUUUGGGACUGGCAGCUCCGCCCGGGUUCUGGUCCCACUGCUGAGGGCAGAAGGGUUCACCGUUGAGGCCCUGUGGGGAAAGACUGAGGAGGAGGCGAAGCAGCUUGCUGAGGAGAUGAACAUCACCUUCUACACCAGCCGAACUGAUGACGUCUUGCUGCAUCAAGACGUGGAUCUGGUGUGCAUCAACAUCCCCCCUCCACUCACCCGGCAGAUAUCUGUGAAGGCUCUAGGUAUCGGGAAGAAUGUAGUUUGCGAGAAGGCAGCAACGUCAGUGGAUGCCUUCCGGAUGGUGACAGCCUCGCGCUACUACCCACAGUUGAUGAGCCUGGUGGGGAACGUGCUGCGCUUCCUGCCUGCCUUUGUGCGCAUGAAGCAGCUGAUCGCAGAGCACUACGUGGGAGCAGUGAUGAUCUGCGAUGCCCGCAUCUACUCAGGCAGCCUCCUAAGCCCCAGCUACGGCUGGAUCUGUGACGAGCUCAUGGGCGGUGGGGGCCUGCACACCAUGGGCACCUACAUCGUGGACCUGCUGACCCACCUGACCGGCCGGAGAGCUGAGAAGGUGCAUGGGCUGCUUAAGACCUUCGUGAGACAGAACGCUGCCAUCCGUGGCAUCCGACAUGUCACCAGUGAUGACUUCUGUUUCUUCCAGAUGCUCAUGGGUGGGGGUGUGUGUAGCACAGUGACACUCAACUUCAACAUGCCAGGCGCCUUUGUGCAUGAGGUCAUGGUGGUGGGUUCUGCAGGACGCCUUGUUGCCCGGGGAGCUGACCUUUAUGGACAGAAGAACUCUGCCACACAAGAAGAGCUGCUACUGAGGGACUCGCUGGCAGUGGGUGCAGGGCUGCCUGAACAGGGGCCCCAGGACGUCCCACUGCUCUACCUGAAAGGCAUGGUCUAUAUGGUGCAGGCCUUGCGCCAGUCCUUCCAGGGGCAGGGGGACCGCCGCACCUGGGACCGCACCCCUGUGUCCAUGGCUGCCUCGUUCGAAGAUGGGCUGUACAUGCAGAGUGUGGUGGAUGCCAUCAAGAGGUCUAGCCGGUCUGGGGAGUGGGAGACUGUGGAGGUGCUGACAGAGGAGCCUGACACCAACCAGAACCUGUGUGAGGCGCUUCAGCGUAAUAACCUCUGAGCCUGCACCUGGGCUCCCUGCCACAGGGCAAAGGGACCAGGGAGGGGAGCAGGAGCUGUUACGUGAUGGAGGGGCUUGGCUGUAGCAAAACAGUGUCUUUCAUUUAAUGAGUCGGCUGGGGCUGGGUGAAGCCAAAGCUGGCCCUGGGAGAGCACCCGCUCCAGCGGCUCAUUUACUCCUCAGACUUGCAGGGUGGUGAGCGUUCCUGUCACCACGGUUCAGAGGGCCAGCACAGUUAUGCUAGUGAGCAAGGCCAGUAAAAGCUCAACUUGUGGGCUCAUCAGCCUGAUUUGUGAUCCUAACAGGAUGAUAAGAAAGCACAACAGGAGCCAGCUGGGCUGAUCCUGAGGCCUGAGGAGAAAUGACAAGAAGCCUUGCAUGUGUCCAUGCCCUUCCUGGGCUGGGGCAUCUCAGGAAUGGUGAGGGCACCAAGUCAUCCCUCAGGGAUCCUCACCUGCCCUCCCAUGUGACCAGGCCCUCCAGCCUCCAGGCUGACCCUUCUCUGAUGGGGAGCAGAGGGGUUUCUUUAUUCGCACUUGUGAAUCUUCAGACUCUUGAGUGCCGGACAUCACCCCUCUUUGCAACAGGAAUCUCAACCUGGCCUGAACUAGGAGGUGAACUACAGAGAGCACCCACCAACCAAUCAGGACACUUGACAGUUAAAGAAGAGGCUGCCCCUUUGUCCCUGGGACAGUCAGCUCAGCUCCAGGUCAGUCCUUCAUGUGUUAUGAGAAUGUCGGUAUCCCUCCUAAAUUUGGGAAUUGAUCAGGAAAGCACAAGCCUUGUUCAGAUGCUCCUACAUAAGAAAGGGCCAUGUUGCUGACCCAGAGUGGCACUUAGGUUUUAGAGGACUUUGCUGUUAACAAAGACGGAUUCCCAGAAGUGUUGGGGCAGAUUGCAGUGGACUUAGAGCCAUUUUUAUGAGGGCCCCAGGUUCUCUGAGGGCACCCCCUGCAGAGCCUAGAUCCAUGGCAAAAGGUAUGUAUCACCCCCUAUCCCUCAGACAUCUUUACCAUCAUGUCUCUUGGGCAUCAGAGCUGGUUGGUCCCACAUCAGGAAUGGGGAGGAGAGAGGUGCCCUGAUGCCUGUGGCCGAAGCCAGAAGAGUUCUGGUCCCUAGGGAUAACUGAACCUGCAACUUGGUCCCAGGAUUGUCCUGCAGCUCCCCCUCCUGGAGGGAGGCAGCAGCAUCUCCCAGGACCUGUUUCCCAAAUCUCGGGGUGCUACCAACUCUUCUUGGGGUCAAAGUAAAGUUUUUCCAGGCCAGUGAAAAUGCAGUUAGCUUCUGCCCUGGGAUACAGCAACCUGAAGAAAACUUCCAAAAUGCCUGUUGCUUAUUCUCUAGCCUCCAGCCAAAUCUAGGCCUUGUUCUCACCUAGCCAGUGGCAACUGCUUUCUCACCUCCUUGUCCCCAGUGUCCCCAUUCCCCAUCUGCCCUUCACACUGCUGCCCCAGCAACCUCUCCAAAAUGUCAGGCCAAGAUCCCUCCCUUUCUACACGCCUCAUCACCCCAGACUUGCCCCACCUGGCCUGAUGGCCAUGCCUUCUGCUUCAGCCACACUGAGGCUGCCCUGCCUGGGGCUGCCAUCUUCUACACCAGCAGGGCUUCAUCCCUGACAUGUGCUCUGCCUAGAAGGCACCAGCUUCUCCAGGAGUCAGCUGGAGGCCUGCCUGGUCACCACUUCUCCCCUAGGUGAAGUGGCAGCCACUUCUACCUCCCGUGGUCCCACCGCCUUGGUCCUUGGUCUCACAUGUCUCCUUAAAUUGUGCUGCCUCAGCAUUUCCCCCUUAGAGUGAGCUUGUAGGAGCAGUAGUGACUUGUUCCUUCCUGCGGCUUCCAUUACCCACUCUGCUUAGACAAGCCCAUCCGGUAAUAGGCCUCAGGAUCUGUAGACCAGUUAUUUCUGCAUGGCCCCUGUGGACAGUAUCACCUGGGGUGGUCAAAUCACUACCCAGGGAAGUUUGUAGGCAGAAAGAGGAAUAUAUGUCCUCAUCCUAUGUUUGCCACGGGGCCAUUGAGCAUCCAAAUGACUCUUGAAAGGAGGGAGCAGCCUGAGACUAUGCCCAUUUUCAUCCUACUGCUGCCACCUGGACCUGCCCAUCCCACUCCCUCCAGUGACCUUGCCAGGCCACUAUUCCAGGGGCCCCACAAAUGAUUGUGGACUUUGGAUGGCCUCAGCCUUUCAAAUUCUGACCUGUCCCUCCCGUAGCUUCCUCCACCCCUCACUUUGGUUUCCUUACUUUGGUGCCUUUUAUAGGGGCUUUCAGGUGGAUGUGAUACAAUGAUGUGCCCUUGGGGAGUUUGCAGUCUAGUCCCAAAGAUGGUUCUAGCCCACGUGACAGUAGCAUGUAGGUGCUACAAUUCAGGGCAAGAAUGGGUGUUGCCUGGCUCAGCAGCAAGCAGGGUAUCCUGACUUUUCAAGGGCAUGUGUGUACUAGCCAGGUGGAGGGGUGAGAGAAUAGAGGCAUUUUAGGCAAGGGAAGCCCCAUGUGCAGAGAGUCAGGGUAAGAAAAGGUAUAGCUUGGUCGGGUGCAGUGGCUCACAUCUGUAAUCCUAGCACUUUGGGAGGCCAAGGCAGGAGGAUACCUUGAGGCUAGGAGUUC